rnacentral:rRNA from 1 species
GACGAACGCUGGCGGCGUGCCUAAUACAUGCAAGUAGAACGCUGAAGGAGGAGCUUGCUUCUCUGGAUGAGUUGCGAACGGGUGAGUAACGCGUAGGUAACCUGCCUGGUAGCGGGGGAUAACUAUUGGAAACGAUAGCUAAUACCGCAUAAGAGUAGAUGUUGCAUGACAUUUGCUUAAAAGGUGCAAUUGCAUCACUACCAGAUGGACCUGCGUUGUAUUAGCUAGUUGGUGAGGUAACGGCUCACCAAGGCGACGAUACAUAGCCGACCUGAGAGGGUGAUCGGCCACACUGGGACUGAGACACGGCCCAGACUCCUACGGGAGGCAGCAGUAGGGAAUCUUCGGCAAUGGACGGAAGUCUGACCGAGCAACGCCGCGGGAGUGAAGAAGGUUUUCGGAUCGUAAAGCUCUGUUGUAAGAGAAGAACGAGUGUGAGAGUGGAAAGUUCACACUGUGACGGUAUCUUACCAGAAAGGGACGGCUAACUACGUG